rnacentral:rRNA from 1 species
UACGAAGGGGGCUAGCGUUGUUCGGAAUUACUGGGCGUAAAGCGUGCGCAGGCGGCUUCUCAAGUCAGGGGUGAAAGCCCAGAGCUCAACUCUGGAAUUGCCUUUGAGACUGAGAAGCUUGAGUACGAGAGAGGUGAGUGGAAUUCCCAGUGUAGAGGUGAAAUUCGUAGAUAUUGGGAAGAACACCGGUGGCGAAGGCGGCUACCUGGCCCAUUCUUGACGCUGAGGCGCGAAAGCUAGGGGAGCGAACGGG